rfam:Limnoraphis robusta CS-951 contig312, whole genome shotgun sequence.
AGGAGCGUAAUGAGGUGAAAGUCUCACGUUACGUUCUGAAGCCGAGCCAGAAUGGUGACAUAUCUGGCUUAGGGCAACCAACACCUGCUCAACAAACCAAACUUUCAAAGCUAUUUGGCUGUUGCCGAGUAGUCUGGAACGAUGCUUUAGCUAAU